GGAUUAGAUACCCUGGUAGUCCACGCCGUAAACGGUGAGUGCUCGUCGUCGUGGGUAUUGACCCCUGCGGUGACCAAGUUAACGCAUGAAGCACUCCGCCUGGGAAGUACGGUCGCAAGACUAAAACUCAAAGAAAUUGACGGGGGCCCGCACAAGCGGUGGAGCAUGUUGUUUAAUUCGAAGCAACGCGCAGAACCUUACCUGGAUUUGACAUCUCGGGAAUCUCUCGGAAACGAGAGAGUGCCUUCGGGAACCCGAUGACAGGUGCUGCAUGGCUGUCGUCAGCUCGUGCCG
rnacentral:rRNA from 1 species